CAUGAACCUGUUGUGAACUGCCCAUCUGAGGGAUCUAGGUUGUGUGCUUCGUAUGAGAAUCUAAUGCCUGAUGAUCUGUCACUGUCUCACUUUGCCCCCAGAUGAGACCAUCCAGUUGCAGAAAAAUGAGUUCAGAGCUUCCACGGAUUCUACAUUAUGGAUAUGUGCCGCCGAAGCAAGCACAAAGCCCUACUUUUACACAUGAUUAGUGAUGCGUCAUGGACAAGGCUUGGCUCUGUGAAGUCCAACUAACCUACUUGAGAUUCUGAGAAUUCUCUUCAAUGGCUUCCUGUGAGCUAGAGUUUGAAAAUAUUUUAAAAUCUUGAGCUAGAGAUGGAAGUAGCUUCCACGAUUUUCAUUAUCAUGUAAAUCAGAUCACUCAAGGGGCCAACCACAGCUGGGAGCCACUGCUCAGGGGAAGGUUCAUAUGGGACUUUCUACUGCCCAAGGUUCUAUACAGGAUAUAAAGGUGCCUCACAGUACAGAUCUGGUAGCAAAGAAGAAGAAACAAACACUGAUCUCUUUCUGCCACAUUAUUUGAACCCCUCUCACCCUUUAGAACAAGCCCACCUAAUAUCUGCUAGAGAAAAGACCAACAACAGCCUCAAAGGAUCUCUUACCAUGAAGGUCUCAGCUAAUUCCUGGCUAAGAUGUGGGUUCCACAUUAGGUUCUGAAUAUGUGGGGAAGGGUCAAUUUGGUCACUUUGUGUGCGGAUAAAGUCAAGAUGCCCAGCGGCCAGAGCAGGGGGCUGGUGCUCUGGGAACAAUGGCUGAGCAUAUAAGCAUAGGUAUGGGAAUUAAAAAACAUCAAAGUCACUGUAUGAAUCGCCAUGAAGACUUGAGGGAUCUGAAUCUACUGAUUCAUCUUAAGGCAGCAGGACCAGUUUGAGUGGCCACAAAGCAGCAACAGAAUCAACGGAAACAACAGAAUGAUUGCAAUGUCUUUUUUCCUCCUCCUUCUGACUUGAUAAAAGGGACUGUCUUCCUUGGAUUUAGUAAACCCCUUCGGUUCUUGAAAAAUUCAAGGAGUAUGUAGGACAUAGUGCCCAGAAGACAGUACAAGACUUUCCGCUAAACUGGACAUUUCAAGACCCAAAUAACUAAUCAGAAAAAUUAAAGAUGUGACACUAUUUUUUAUCCCAUGCAUAGGUGUUACACUUGGAUCAAAUGAACAAUGCUGGGAUCUCUAAGGAUAAAGAUCUUAAAAGUCCUGAGAUAAAGAAUCCCGCACCCAUUGGUACUUCUAACUUGUCUUGCUUUUUGUCUGAUUUCUGGCUGAUGCAGGGGACUAACUCACUGCCACGCGAAAACUACCUGAACCAAAC
rnacentral:lncRNA from 1 species